AAUGAAGGUCUUAUGACCUACCGUCAAACAAGGUAGGUCAGAUAAUUUCUUUAUGGCCAGUUUUUACAUGCAAAGGUGAAGGGAAAGUUGGAGUAAUGUUUUUAGGUUUUAUGGCUGGUUUUGGGGAAAAGAGGUUCUGGUUUCUAUGACCCGCUCUAGUUUCUAUAGCUAGGUUUGGGGGUAGAAUGGACUAAGUAAGAGACAGGAGAGCGGGAGAAGAUCAGAGAAAAACUUUUGCUUUUCAGGUCUUUGUUUUGGGGUAUUGUUUUCUGAGUCCCAACACCUCCAUAAAGCACUUAGCAUGGUGCCUGGCAUAUAGUAGAUGUUCAAUAAAGGGUGACAUCUUUUAUUAUCAACUACAAAGACAUAAGGCAGGAAAGCUCAAUAGGUUUGAGUAAAAGACAAUGGUUUCUGCUUCACUAGAGAAAAAAGGAGUUUAGGAAAAAGAAGGCUUUACAUUUUAUGAUGGGGCUAGACUGGUCUUGAAUGCCAGGUUUGGAAAAUGAGGUUUUGUGGAAGAGGAGAUAACAAGACUUAAGUCACUCUUGGAGAUCUUGGAGGGUUAUUCCUUUUCUUGUAACUAGUUCUGUCAAGUCAUUCUCUCAUUGGUAUUAGAAUAUAUAUAGUGUCUCUCUGUGUGCACUGUACACUUUCUUCCGAUUUUUAAAAUUUUCAGAUGUAAUGAAUGUCAUCUAAAUUUGUAAAUAACCAGGAAAUCUUUGGGCCGCAUGAGCGAAGGGAUUAUUAGAAAUGGAAAAAAAAAAAAAAAAAAAGGCUGGGUGUGGUGGCUCACACAUGCAAUCCCAGCACUUUGGGAGGCUGAGGUGGGCGGAUCACCUGAGGUCAGGAGUUCGAGACCAGCUUGGCCAACAUGGUGAAACCCCAUCUCUACUAAAAAUACAAAAAUUAGCCUGGUGCGGUGGCGCUGCCUGUAAUCCCAGCUACUUGGGAGACUGAGGCAGAAGAAUCACUUGAACCCAGGAGGUGGAGUUUGCACAGUGAGCUGAGACUGCGCCACUGCACUCCAACCUGCGCAACAGAGCAAGACUGUCUCAAAAAAAAAAAAAAAAAAAA
rnacentral:lncRNA from 1 species